rnacentral:rRNA from 1 species
UUCAUUCUAGAAACACUUUCCAGUACCUCUACUUUGUUACGACUUAUUCCAAUUUUUAAAUGAAAGCGACGGGCAAUAUGUACAUAUUUUAGUUUUUAAUCAUUUUAUUAUAUUAAAUAAAAUUACAUUUAAAUCCACCUUUAUUUUAAUAUUACAAAAAAAAAUCCAUUUAAAUAUAUUUAUUGUAAUCCAUCAUAUUCUUAAUUAUAUUCUACAUCUUGAUCUGAAUUAAUUUCUAUUUAUAAUUUUUAAAUAUUAUUAUUAUUUUAAAAUAUUUUUUUAACAACGAUAUAUAAAAUUUUAAAUUAAGUAAAUUUAAUCGUGGAUUAUCAAUUAUUAGACAGAUUCCUCUAAAUGAACUAAAAUACCGCCAAAUUAUUUAAGUUUCAAUAAAUUAUUAUUUACUAUUUUAGUAUUUAUAAAUUAAAUUUUA